rnacentral:rRNA from 1 species
UACGGAGGGGGUUAGCGUUGUUCGGAAUGACUGGGCGUAAAGCGCGCGUAGGCGGAUCGGAAAGUUGGGGGUGAAAUCCCGGGGCUCAACCCCGGAAUGGCCUUCAAAACUCCCGGUCUUGAGGUCGAGAGAGGUGAGUGGAAUUCCGAGUGUAGAGGUGAAAUUCGUAGAUAUUCGGAGGAACACCAGUGGCGAAGGCGGCUCACUGGCUCGAUACUGACGCUGAGGUGCGAAAGCGUGGGGAGCAAACAGG